AACAAUCAAGAACACUACUUUGAGCUAAUUAAAUUCAUCAAUUCGUACCUAGCAAAAGAGUUGGGAUGUUCUCAGCAGUAAAGGACGCACACGUCAAUCGAUGAUCUGCUGCUGUUGCCCGGAACCGGAAACCCAUAUAGCCGGGCGUGCCCACACCACGCAUGUGCCGCCUCCUUGUACAGUCUCCAUCGUCGCGUGUAUGUAGAUCAUGUACAGAAC
rnacentral:lncRNA from 1 species